rnacentral:rRNA from 1 species
UAGCGUAUAUUAAAGUUGUUGCAGUUAAAAAGCUCGUAGUUGGAUCUGAGGAUUAGAGCCCCAGGUUGGCCGCAUGGCUACACUUGUGGCUCAGCCUGCAUAGUCGGUGAUUGUUUUGGUGCUCUUAAUUGAGUGCCUUAACUGCCCGGCCACGUUUACUUUGAAAAAAUUGGAGUGCUCAAAUCAGGCCCAAUGCCUGAACAGAUGUGCAUGGAAUAAUGGAAAAGGACUUCGGUUCUAUUUUGUUGGUUUUCGGAACAUGAAGUAAUGAUUAAGAGGGACAGACGGGGGCAUUCGUAUUGCGGUGGG